rnacentral:rRNA from 1 species
ACCAGCAGCCAUAUCACCCUGCAACUCACAACUGACAACCCCCUGAAGCUUAGCAGGUGUGAGACUGUUCAGUAUGUGGAUGGGAGACCAACUGGGAAAAAUAAAGAUUGCUGCUGGAA